AACGUGUAGCCUAAACCAUAUCAACGUUAUGUUAAGCCUCGAUGAACUUCAUUCGCAUUUCCCAUCCAACAUUCCAAUCUCAAAAAUCCAAGCGAAAUACCACACAAGAAAAAGCUCGAGAAAAUAAAAACGGACUUUCUCGCGAUCCAAACACCACGUGCCUCCAUCUCUGAUUUCCAAUUCUCCUCUCUCUCCUUCAUAUUCUUCCAGCUAGGGCAGGGUUACCACUCCCCCCCCCCGGCGGGAGCACGAUAGCUCCAACCACCGCCCACACGAACCAAUCUCUUUUCAAUGUCGAGAAAAUUCAUUCAUAGUUUCGUAGAUCAGCCAAAGCACUGAUUUUUAUUGCUUAUUCUUCUUCAAAUUAUUCAAAUUUUCUGGCAAUAAUAAGAUGAUGGGUUCAGAGAACCAGGGUUUCGAAGAAGCCCAUCUCUACGCAUCGAGAGAAGAGAUGGAGAGCCUCGUCCUCGACGAUUCUCUGACCAGCAAAUCCUACUCUAAUUACAGAAGUGCCAUGUCCACUCUCUCCGAUUCUCGCCUCCACCACCCUCUCUCUCCGCCGAUCAUCGCCACCCCCGCCAACACCGAUCCCCUCUUAUCCCCCCCUCCUCCGCAGCUGUCCAAUCUCGAAAACCCUAAUUCCCCCACCAAUUCCUACCUAGAGCCGUCGUCGUACGCCGCCGUCGUUUUCAACCCUCUCGACGUCGACCACCGCGGAGUGGAGAUCAACGGCGAUGACGAAAGCCCUAGCAAAGAUUCACAGAUAUCUGUGUCAUUUUCGAGAUCGACGUUGUCGAGCUCGGAAGAGUAUUUGAAGAUCACGGUGUCGAAUCCUCAGAAAGAGGCGGAGGCUGCGAAUUCGAUUGUUCCGGGAGGGAACACUUUCGUUACGUAUUUGAUCACGACGAAGACGAACAUGCCGGAGUUCGGCGGAUCGGAUUUCUUCGUUCGGAGGCGAUUUAAGGACGUUGUUACGUUAUCGGAUCGAUUGAGUGAGGGUUACAGAGGGUUUUUCAUUCCGCCGAGGCCCGACAAGAGUGUGGUGGAGAGUCAAGUAAUGCAAAAGCAAGAAUUUGUGGAACAGAGACGAGUGGCAUUGGAGAAAUAUCUUCGGAGAUUGGCUGCACAUCCAGUGAUCAAGAAAAGUGAUGAGUUGAGGGUCUUUUUACAGGUUCAGGGGAAGCUUCCGUUGCCCACUAGCACCGAUGUGGCAUCAAGGAUGCUCGAUGGGGCUGUGAAGCUUCCAAAGCAAUUGCUUGGGGAUUCCGGGAGCGUAAUUGGGCCGCAAGAUGUUGUGCAGCCUGCAAAAGGGGGAAGAGAUUUGUUGAGGAUAUUCAAGGAGUUGAAACAAUCAGUGACUAAUGAUUGGGGAGGUUCGAGACCGCCUGUAGAUGAGGAAGACAAGGAGUUUCUAGAAAAGAAAGAGAGGUUGAGUGAUCUUGAGCAGCAAAUUAUCAAUUCCUCUCAGCAGGCAGAAUCACUUGUCAAAGCUCAGCAAGAUAUGGGUGAGACAAUGGGAGAGUUAGGACUAGCAUUUAUUAAGUUGACAAAGUUUGAGAAUGAGAAUGCCAUGUUGAACACGCAACGAAUACGGGCUGCUGAUAUGAAAAAUGUGGCCACUGCCACCGUCAAAGCAAGCAGACUGCAUCGGGAGUUAAAUGCACAAACUGUCAAGCAUUUGGACACGCUACACGAAUAUUUGGGGCUAAUGUUAGCUGUCAACGCUGCAUUUUCGGAUCGCUCAAGUGCUUUAUUGACAGUACAAACUCUUUUAUCAGAAUUGUCUUCUUUACAUUUGAAAGCUGAAAAACUUGAAACUGCAUCAUCCAAAAUAUUUGGUGGUGACAAGUCCAGAUUUCGCAAGAUGGAAGAGUUGAAAGAAACAAUAAGAGUCACUGAGGAUGCUAAAAGCUGUGCAAUCAGAGAAUAUGAAAGGAUCAAGGAAAAUAACAGGACUGAAAUUGAGAGGCUUGAUAGAGAAAGGAAGGAUGACUUUGUGAAUAUGUUGAAGGGAUUUGUGAUUAAUCAGGCACAUUAAUCUCAUGAGGGCAUGUUUGGUAUUGGACUCUUAGUCCUGGAGCUUCAUUAGGAACUUGGAAGAUAUAGGGAGGACAAAGUGGCGUAUACAGAGAAAAUUGGAAAUGAGUGGGCAAAGGUUGUGGAGGACACUAGUCGAUAUGCAAAAGAGAGUUCUUGAACUCUGCAAAUGUAAAAAUUCAGAUUUUUAGGUUUUCCUUCCUCCUCUCCUUAUAUUUUAUGGUUGGAACUAUUAGGAAAUAGCAACACAUUCAUCAUAAAGAUAAGAGAGCAUUUGUUAGCCUUUCAAAUUUCAUUUCUCCCGGUUGUAUGUAAUAGAGGUUUUACAUGCCCCUAUACUGUAAGCUUGUUGUAACUUGUUUCUUUUUUUCUUUUUCUUUUUUCUCUUACCCCUCAAGUGGUUUCCGAAACUGGAUUCCUGAAUUUUGAUAUGGUAAUGGGAUAAUAAUGGGAGAAACAGGAACCACCAUUGGGCACAAUCACUUUAGCUGCUUAGUGUUACUGCUUGCAAGUACUAAUGUUUAAUUUUGAUCUGAAACUUUGAUUGUUUCAUUUUCCCUUUGCUCUCAUUCUAUUCAUAUAUGAACCAAAUAAAUCUUUACUGAUGAUAUUGUAUAUGUCAUGAUUGAAUAUA